GACGAACGCUGGCGGCGUGCUUAACACAUGCAAGUCGAACGAAGUGGCGAACGGGUGGGCAACGCGGAAUCAACCUGCCCUUCAACGGGGGACAACAGUUGGAAACGACUGCUAAUACCGCAUACUGAAGGAGGGGAUUGCGUCUUAUUAGAUAGUUGGGGGGGUAACGGCCCACCACGGCGAUGAUCAGUAGCGGCCCUGCGAGGAUGAGCGGCCAAACGGGGACGGGGACACGGCCCAGACUCCUACGGGAGGCAGCCGUGGGGAAUCUUCCGCAAUGGACGAAAGUGUGACGGAGCAACGCCGCGUGAGUGAUUACGGCCUUCGGGUUGUAAAGCCCUGUUAAUCUGUACGCGGUACCGGAAUAGAAAGCCACGGCUAACUACGUGCCAGCAGCCGCGGUAAUAC
rnacentral:rRNA from 1 species